rnacentral:tRNA from 1 species
UGGGGUGUAGCUCAGUUGUCAGAGUGCUUGCCUAGUGUGCAUGAAGCCCUGUGUUCAAUGCCCUGCACCACAU